GCUGGGAUAGCUCAGUCCAUAGAGCAUGAGAUUCCUACUCUCAGGGUUGUGGGUUCGAGACACAAAAGUUGUUGACA